rnacentral:rRNA from 1 species
UCUAUGUCGGCGACCGGCGCACGGGUGCGUAACGCGUAUGCAACCUACCCAUUACAGGGGGAUAACACUGAGAAAUCGGUACUAAUACCCCAUAACAUCCAGGGAGGCAUCUUCUUGGGUUGAAAACUCCGGGGGUAAUGGAUGGGCAUGCGUUGUAUUAGUUAGUUGGUGGGGUAACGGCUCACCAAGACAACGAUACAUAGGGGGACUGAGAGGUUAACCCCCCACAUUGGUACUGAGACACGGACCAAACUCCUACGGGAGGCAGCAG